UGUUUGUUUGUGAGUGUGUGUGUGUAUUUGUGAGUGUGUUUGUGUGUGAAAUGGGGUGACCUUUAAUCUAUUUCGUCAUUAUGCAUCCUUGAGUUGAUUUGCAUUAGGAUUGAGUUGUGUGAUUAAAAAAAGAAAUGUUUGUCACUGGAGUCGCCGUCUGAGUCAGUUGCCCCCCAAGCAUGACUGGGUGGCAGCAUCAGCAUCACGGCGAAACAAGGGUAAAGGAGAUUAGCAUUAACCAGCACAGGCACUGGCCACAUGCACAACAAUACUAGUGUACUGUGUCUCCCUACAGACCGCCGAGCCCUCAUUAUAUCACUGCCUGUGGUCCUUCAACCAAGGAGGGCUUUAGCCCAGGGGGAGACUAUAUAUUGUGUGUUUGUGUGUGUCAGUGAGAUAGGGGAAGAGUGUGUGUGUGUGUGUGUGUGUGUGUGUGUGUGUAGGGGUGUGUGUUGAGGAGAUACCAUGAACUAGUCAGUAAGAGACUGGUAGCCUAAAGCCAUUAUCAUUAAUUGAAUAUACAAAAACACAUUUCAGAAAUGAUUGGCUUUCACCAGUUUUAAAAUUAGGUCUCUCUUCCGUGGGCAGACUGAUCGUCAUGCGCACGCAUGCCUGCUGAUGGAGACGUGUGCAGUUCAAUCACACGCAUAUCUGUUGAUGCAGAACACAUCCACGCAGACCAUCACCCAAUCACACGCAUAUCUGUUGAUGCGGAACACAUCCACGCAGAUCAUCACCCAAUCACGCGCAUAUCUGUUGAUGCAGAACACAUCCACGCAUAUCUGUUGAUGCAGAACACAUCCACGCAGAUCCUCACCCAAUCACACGCAUAUCUGUUGAUGCAGAACCCAUCUCAUGUGAGCCUAACAAACAAAUUAGGGCUAUUGCACUAGAUGAAUAUUCCACCAUGACAUGACAUCGUUUAGGACUGAGGUACCACUCUGGACAUGUGAUUGUGUUAUGUGUGACUGAGGUGAUUGUGUUAUGUGUGACUGAGGUGAUUGUGUUAUGUGUGACUGAGGUACCACUCUGGACAUGUGAUUGUGUUAUGUGUGACUGAGGUGAUUGUGUUAUGUGUGACUGAGGUGAUUGUGUUAUGUGUGACUGAGGUACAACGCUGGACAUGUGAUUGUGUUAUGUGUGACUGAGGUACCACGUGUGAUUGUGUUACAUGUGAUUGUGUUACUUGUGAAGAUGUCUCUGCUAAAUGUAGUGGUCAAGUAUGCUACAUCUAUUCAAAGGGCCCCCUUAAAAUGAUCAGUCAAAAUUGUCAGGCCAUCUAGGAAAUGUGCCAAUGUGCACCACAAUGAAAUGCUACAUCCUGACUGUCCCACCCUUAACACAGCACAACACCCUUAACACAGCACAACAAAUGCACACUUAGACAAAUACACAGGUAGAGCAGCAUUUUAUCAGUGACGCCUCAGCUACCCCAACUGUGCGCAACGAGAUGAGGUGAUACUAAUUAGAAUGUGAAAAACAAAAACAGGUUUCAUAAUCCUGUUAAUCCGAGUUGAUUACACUGCAACAUCAGCAUGAAAGCUGUGCCGUAUGAUUAAUUAGUAAAUUUAGUUUGAAUCAUUAUUUUAAACCUGAGACCAAGACAAAAUCAAGACUAAAUGUCCAGACAGCCACGGCACAACUAUCACACAAUGAAGGCAACGUGAUAAAUACAGCACAAAUGAAAUGCUUAAUCCACAGAAAACACAAGUUUGAAAACAGCUUUUAUAUACAAUUUGCGAGAGCAGACACACUUUGCUGACACGACUGAUAGAUAACAUUCCAAGUGACAAACUGCAUUCCAGACUCCCACGUUCAUUUUGUCACAUGAAGAGGUGCUACUUGGUUUAACAGUAAAAGUAAAAGACAGAUAUUAAUUGUAUUUUUACUUUGACCCCAAAUGUGCAUGCCUGGUAUAGAAAUUUAAAUUCAAAUGAUUACAUGGCAUUCCAUUUCACAUAUGGUCAUUUUACAUAUCCAUUUUUCAAAAUAAAAUCAUCAAUUCUAUUAUAUUACUUUACUGUUACUGUAAUGCUAUUUUAAAGGAGAUAUAUGAAAAAUGGAAAAGACACUUAUAAUAAAACUCUACUUAAUCUGCAUGCACUGGUAUCCUAUGAAAGAAGCUAUGCGGUAUAAGAAAAAGUUUGUAUCCAUGAAACUGUUGUUUCAAGGUUGAAUUAGAGAAGGCCUUGAGUAUAUGUUCAUAUAUUUAAAUAAGAAUAUUGUAUCCUACUCGAGCAGGAACCCCAAGAAGAGGACCUUGGGACCCAUGAAUGUCCUCUUCUCUAGAGAAAAAGGCCAGUUCCUUGUCAAGAGAAGCCACAAUGCAUUCAAGGACCAUGUGGCAGAGGCACAACUGUGUCCCAUGAAAGUGUCUGCAAUCUGCGGAGAGUGCAUAGUCAUCCAUAGAAUGUAUUAUUCAUACUCUUAAGGGUUUAAUAUGGGUAUGCAUUGUAUUAAGUACCCACAUGUUUUUCAUACAGCAAAAUGAUUCAGAUUCUACAGGUGGAACUUAGUCAGGGUAGACAAUCUGAUCUCGAUACCUUCAAACAUUUUGAAAAUGUUAGUGUCCCAAUAUGCUCUAUCACACUUUGGACAGCACGAGUGGGAUGAUACCCUGCCAUAAUGUUAAUGACAUUUGGUAUUGGGCUCUGACAUGAAGUGCCCAUAUCUGAAGUAGGGGGAAUACAUUGACAAUCAUUUUACAAUGGGGCCGUGGGACGACCUCUAUGUGAUGUGGUAUGGAAUGACUAGGUAAGAGUUCAUGGGAGACUGUGUUAUCACAGAAACACCAGUGCUACCAGUGUUUUGGCAUCACAGGGCAUGUGGUCUUUGUAAAGCUUUGUAAACUUAAACAUAUUAGUGCUUUAAGGAAACCUUUGCCAGCAAAUAACAAGUUUUACCUGUGGAAAUAGAUCAACUUUACUGUGCAGUUGUUAAACAGAACUCUUAUCAGACCUUUUAAUAGGAUAUGCCAUUGUCUUUACAGCAUCACCAUGAAUCCUUGUUGUUCUUUGACAGCAUUCAUCGCUGUGUGCUCCUUGUGUUUUGUUUUGCCUGGCUGACUCUGUUACCAUGGUCUAUCUAAGUAAACCUCACCCUUGCUGUACUCCCACCUGCGUGCUGCAUUUGGGUUCUCUCUGUCGCCCAACCUGACCAGCCUGCAGUCCCUGGGGCUUAAGCCCCUCCUUCACCCCAUUGUUAAUCCGGCCC
ensembl:lncRNA